rnacentral:rRNA from 1 species
AGAGUUUGAUCAUGGCUCAGAUUGAACGCUGGCGGCAGGCCUAACACAUGCAAGUCGAGCGGUAACAGGAAGUAGCUUGCUACUUUGCUGACGAGCGGCGGACGGGUGAGUAAUGCCUGGGAAUAUGCCUUGAUGUGGGGGAUAACCAUUGGAAACGAUGGCUAAUACCGCAUAAUCUCCGAUCUUUUACGAGAUGGGAGCAAAGAGGGGGACCUUCGGGCCUCUCGCGUCAAGAUUAGCCCAGGUGGGAUUAGCUAGUAGGUGAGGUAAUGGCUCACCUAGGCGACGAUCUCUAGCUGGUCUGAGAGGAUGAUCAGCCACACUGGAACUGAGACACGGUCCAGACUCCUACGGGAGGCAGCAGUGGGGAAUAUUGCACAAUGGGCGCAAGCCUGAUGCAGCCAUGCCGCGUGUGUGAAGAAGGCCUUCGGGUUGUAAAGCACUUUCAGUCGUGAGGAAGGCAGUUGCGUUAAUAGCGUAAUUGUUUGACGUUAGCGACAGAAGAAGCACCGGCUAACUCCGUGCCAGCAGCCGCGGUAAUACGGAGGGUGCGAGCGUUAAUCGGAAUUACUGGGCGUAAAGCGCAUGCAGGUGGUUAGUUAAGUCAGAUGUGAAAGCCCGGGGCUCAACCUCGGAAUUGCAUUUGAAACUGGCUAGCUAGAGUACUGU